rnacentral:rRNA from 1 species
UACGGGGGGGGCAAGCGUUGUUCGGAAUUACUGGGCGUAAAGGGCUCGUAGGCGGCCAACUAAGUCAGACGUGAAAUCCCUCGGCUUAACCGGGGAACUGCGUCUGAUACUGGAUGGCUUGAGGUUGGGAGAGGGAUGCGGAAUUCCAGGUGUAGCGGUGAAAUGCGCAGAUAUCAGGAGGAACACCAAUGGCGAAGGCAGCUCACUGGGACGGUAUUGACGCUGAGACGCGAAAGCGUGGGGAGCAAACAGG